rnacentral:rRNA from 1 species
UACGUAGGGGGCGAGCGUUGUCCGGAUUUAUUGGGCGUAAAGAGCUCGUAGGCGGUUUGGUAAGUCGGGUGUUAAACCCCCAGGCUCAACCUGGGGACGCCACUCGAUACUGCUGUGACUUGAGUCCGGUAGGGGAGCGUGGAAUUCCUGGUGUAGCGGUGAAAUGCGCAGAUAUCAGGAGGAACACCAGCGGCGAAGGCGGCGCUCUGGGCCGGUACUGACACUGAGGAGCGAAAGCGUGGGUAGCAAACAGG